AUUGAACGCUGGCGGCAGGCCUAACACAUGCAAGUCGAACGAGUGGCGGACGGGUGAGUAAUGUCUGGGAAACUGCCUGAUGGAUGGGGAUAACUACUGGAAACGGUAGCUAAUACCGCAUACCAUCAGAUGUGCCCAGAUGGGAUUAGCUCGUUGGGGGGGUAACGGCUCACCAAGGCGACGAUCCCUAGCUGGUCUGAGAGGAUAACCAGCUACACUGGAACUGAUAACCGGUGCAGACGCCUAAGGGAGGCAGCAGUGGGGAAUAGUGCACAAUGGGUGCAAGCUUGAUGCAGCCAUGCCGCGUGUAUGAAGAAGGCCGUCGGGUUGUAAAGUACUUUCAGCGGGGGGGCGUUACCCGCAGAAGAAGCACCGGCUAACUCCGUGCCAGCAGCCGCGGUAAUUC
rnacentral:rRNA from 1 species